UACAGAGGGCUCAAGCGUUGUUCGGAUUCAUUGGGCGUAAAGGGUGCGUAGGCGGCGCGGCAAGUCGGGGGUGAAAUCUCGGAGCUUAACUCUGAAACUGCAUUCGAUACUGCCGUGCUUGAGGACUGGAGAGGAGACUGGAAUUUACGGUGUAGCGGUGAAAUGCGUAGAUAUCGUAAGGAAGACCAGUGGCGAAGGCGGGUCUCUGGACAGUACCUGACGCUGAGGCACGAAGGCCAGGGGAGCAAACGGG
rnacentral:rRNA from 1 species